rnacentral:hammerhead_ribozyme from 1 species
GCACUACUGAUGAGUUUUAUAAUAGGACGAAACGGCCGUCCAGUGC